UUCCCGUUGAUCCUGCGGGAGGUUGCUGCUAUCGGGAUUCGAUUAAGCCAUGCAAGUCUUUCCGCAAGGAAGGCAAACUGCUGAGUAACACGUCGAUAACUUACCCUAAGGUCCGGGAUACCCUCGGGAAACUGAGG
rnacentral:rRNA from 1 species